AGAUUAACUUGUUUUGACAAGUCCGUUUACUUGUGGGAGUUUUAGGUACUCAGUUCAGUAUCAGACAUUGCACAUAGAAUUAGACAUCAUCCAGGCUCUGGGUUAGGCAGGAGAGAUACAGAAUGGUACUAUAUGACUACAAUUCACACCCACCACACACAGCACAGUUAAAGAGGUCUGGACCAGGCAUGGGACAAGGCACAAGGAAAGAACCAGGGAAGGAGUCCCUUGCAGAGGAAGGAGGUGGAGGCAGCCAAUGGGAGAGGGAUGUACAAAGAAAGAAAAGCUGAAUUUUCAUCCCAUUAACAGUAGCUGUAACUAGAACAAAGAUCAUUAUGUUAUAGUGUUAUUGGAUCCAAAUAUUUUGUAUGAUUACAUAGCAGAUAACACAACAUCCCACAGUGAUAAUCUCUGAUGAUACUCACGAGGUUCAUAGUGAUUAGAUGAUGGAUAGGAGAGUGUUUUUAACCCCAUUUUUAUAGUUGGCAUAUGCCCUUUAAUCACAGCUCUGGCAUUUAAAAUGCCGAAAUCAUAAUUUCCUAAUAAAUACCUUCCUUCUCUCAAGUAACUCUUGACUCCUUAGCUAUUUAUUCAUGCCAUAACCUUUAAAUAUAAACAAUAUGAGCAAGUCUUACCUCAGCUCUCCCCUCUAUCCCCUGAUCUGCCUGUCUCUCUGUCUCUCUGUUUCUUCUUCUCUCUAUCUCUGUCUCUCUCUCACACACACACAAGAGAAUUCAUAUAGUGCCAUAUUAAUUAUAGAAAACAAAUAAAUUAUGAUGUGCUCAAUAUGAAAUUUUAAUUUUUAUCAAAGCAAACAGAAUGAGAUGAUCACUGUGAAUGGAUAUGUAAUUCUGGAAUGAAGCAUAGAAAUGUCUUGUGGGAUUAUGGUCCCGAUUUCACGAACAAAUAAAAGUAUGUUCUCUUCAGAAGGGAUUUGGUAAGCUAAGCUACAUGAAGUUUUGUUGUUGUUUUCAAAUAUCUAUCUAGGCAUUCUUAUUGAAGCAUGUAGGAUGACGACUUUAUAGAAAUACCCUUACCUUAUUAUAGGUCAGUUCUUGUAUAUUGUUCUAGGUAGAUCUUUCUCUAAUUCCUCCAACCAAGGAUUAUCAGCAAAAGUAAUCAUAGUGUCCAAGGACUUUAGAAACAUCAGUUGAACCAUCUUGGUACAUUUAUUUUAUAUAUAUCAAUGUAUAUAUAAUGUAUAUAUGUUCUUUUUUUAAAGAUUUAUUUUUAUAACUAUGUAUAAGUAUGAUAGGGUAAAUGUGCCCAUGACUGCAGUUGCCUGUAGAGGUUGGAAGAGGGCAUCCGAUUCUCUGGAGCUGGGACUGCAGCCACUUAAGCCUCCUGAUGUGGCUGCCAGGAACUGAAAUUGGGUCCUGUGCAAGAGCACUGUGCACUCUUAAUAGCUGACCCAUCUCUCCAGCCCUGUUGAUGUUAUUUUUAACGAUCACAACUAUACAGUACAAAUAUUCUCAUGAUAAGAGUUCUGGAACCGCUAGGACUUUUAUUCCUUUAUGCAAUAAAAGAAUUUUACGUAUCACAUUACUUGAUACCUUUUUUUUUUCCUGUUGAGUUUGGCCAGAAAGUUAAAGAAAUCACUUUUAAGGUAGUAUAACUAGUAGAUUUAUUCAUAUAGUUAAUGCCAAAAUGAUAGUGUUCUGUCCUAUUUACUCUAGAGACAAAAGACAUAUAUAAAUAUCCCUAGGUCAUAAAAUAUUGGUAGAGCAAAUUAUGUUAGAUGGGUGAGUUUAUACCAGCUGUGAUGAACUAUGUGGCUAUAGGUGUUGAACAUUCAAUUAUGAAUUUUUACCUCUAAGUAUAUUUACUUUGUAAAACUCUUCAGGACCUAGUUAUUAGAACAUGGUAUUAGGUAAAUCAACCCCAAUCUAAAAUGUUUUAGAUACUAGAUUAAAAAGCAGCAUGAAUAGUUUAGGACUUUUAUGUCUAAGCAUGACCCCACUGUAAGAACAAAAUUAUACCAAGAGUCUUGCAUAGUUACAAGUAAAUUGAUAAGAACAAAUAAAAUAUAACUUUUUACAUAAGUUCAAAUAGUCAACCAUAAAUGUAAAAAGUCCAUGUCACUGUCUACUUCUGUACAAGAAUAACUUUUAAUUCCAAAAAUAUAAUUUUCUUUUAAUAGAGGUAGUUGGAUGAGUGAAAUUCCACCAAUGAAAUUCUACUCUGUUUCCUUCAGCAAUAUUAAAAAUAAGGCUGAAUUUGUAAUGUGUUAGUGGGGGGAUAAAAGAAAUAGAGAUGGUCAUGUCCUUGUCACUAACCAUGAGAGAAUAAGAGCACCUUAUUUUGUUUUUAAACGCUUCAACUUACAGUUUAGCAAACAGCUAUGAAAUGAGUAGAAACCCCAGUGCCUAUACAACGAGUAAAAAUCUCAGUGCGCAUAAACAGUCAGAUAGAUAAAAGACCUUUUGCUAGCGAAGUAGGGAGAACCACAGAAGCUAAUGUCAACUCCAGUGUUUUAACUCAGUGAGCCCAGCAAUCAGGGUGAUGCGGGAUGAGAGCCCCACCCCCACCUUCCUGCCUUGCCGCCCCAUCCAGUUCAUAGUCUCUCUCUAGUUAAAGUUCAAUAACUAAGCUUCUGAAGAGCGAAGAAAGCAGC
rnacentral:lncRNA from 1 species